AUCCAACUGGUUGGGGUACCACGUCAGAAACAUUAACGUGGAGCUACGGUUAUAGGGGAGAAUUUCUGCCUCUUCAUCUGGUCAUCUGAUUUUCUCUUGCUAGUGCCAAUCGCAUUUAGCGAGUGGAUAGACUCGGGUACAGAUUAUUUCUCCCAUUUUAUGGAAGAUGAAAAGCCAGUCUGGGUUAGGGCAUACUCUGUGAUCAGUUUUCUCAGAAGACCUGAGGAAGACGAAGAAGACCAAAGGCGCUCUCUCGCUCUUCUCUUUUCUUUCUAAUCAUAUUUCAAAAUCUAAGUUAGAUGGACUCCAGCUCUGAAGAAGAGUCAGACUUCAGUGAUUCUGAGAUCCAUGAACAUGUGGAGAAACCGUAUGAGCAAUUGAGGGCUGGAAAAUACAAAGUCAAAGGUCCUAAUGGUACUCUUAGAUGCCCUUUUUGUGCUGGGAAGAAGAAACAAGAUUACAAAUAUAAGGAUCUGCUUCAACAUGCUUCUGGAGUGGGUAAAGGUUCAUCUAACAGAAGUGGGAAACAAAAGGCCGACCACCUUGCCUUGGCUAGGUAUUUGGAGACAGACCUAGCAAAUGAAGCAGAUCAAAGCCAGCAGCCGGUUAUACCACAACCUGUCUCUCAACAUCCGAAGCAAGAUGAUGUAUAUGUGUGGCCCUGGACUGUUAUCAUUGUUAACAUAGUGGUUGAGGCAAAAGAUGAAAAAUCUAUGCGUUAUUCUGAAUAUUGGUUGAAAAGGUUCUCUAAAUACAGGCCAGUACAUGUUCAUACCUUUUGGAACGAGAAUAAUCAGGCUGCAGAGGCUGUAGUAGAAUUUAACAGUGACUGGAAUGGUUUUUUGAAUGCUACUGAAUUUGAACAGGAUUUUAAGAUUAAUCGUCACAGUAAAGAGGAAUGGAAUACACAGAAAACACGUGGUUCAAAUAUUUAUGGUUGGAGUGCUCGUGCUGAUGAUUACGAGUCUCAAGGGCCAAUAGGGGAGUAUCUUCGCAAGAGAGGAAAGCUAAGAACAGUGUCUGAUAUUGAGCAGGAAGAAGCUCAAAGCAACAAGUUUGUCGUGGCUGACCUAGCUAUUAAAAUUGAUAAAACCAAUGAAAGCUUAGAUGUGCUACAGUCCAAGUACAACCAAAAUUCUAUGUCUUUAAGUAGAAUGCUUGAAGAAAAGGACCAGCUGCACCUUGCUUUUGUUGAAGAAAGUAGGAAGAUGCAGCGACUUGCACGAGAACAUGUUCGGAGGGUACUGCAAGAGCAGGAAAAAAUGAAUUAUGAGUUGGAGACCAAAAAAAAGGAACUUGAUGCCCGGAGCAAAGAAUUAAGCAAACGUGAAGCACUAACUGAACGUGAAAAGCAAAAACUUGAUGAGGAUUUGAAAAAGAAUGAUGUAAGAAACAAUUCACUUCAAUUGGCUUCGAUAGAGCAGAAAAAGGCUGAUGAGAACGUCUUAAGGCUGGUUGAAGAGCAAAAGAGGGAGAAAGAGGAAGCCCUGAAUAAGAUACUUCAGUUAGAAAAACAGCUUGAUGUUAAGCAGAAGUUGGAAAUGGAAAUUCAAGAGUUAAGAGGUAAAUUAGAGGUGAUGAAACAUCUUGGAGAUGAAGAUGACGAAGCAGUUAAAAAGAAGAUGAAAGAAAUGAAAGAGGAAUUGGAUGAGAAAGUUGAUUCUCUUGACGAUUUGGAGUCGCUAAAUCGAACUCUUAUAGCUAAAGAGCGCCAGAGCAAUGAUGAGCUACAAGAAGCUCGUAAAGAACUAAUAGCGGGUUUGGAUGAUCUGUUGGGUAAUCGAACCAAUAUUGGGAUCAAGAGAAUGGGAGAUCUUGACCAAAGGCCCUUUAUUAACACAUGCAAGCAGCGAUAUUCUCUUGAGGAAGCACAGUUGAAGGCAUCCACUCUUUGUUCUCUGUGGCAGGAACAAGUGAAAGAUUCAACCUGGUACCCGUUCAAGGUUGUAACUAUUAAUGGGAUUGACCAGGAAAUAAUAAAUGAGGAAGAUGAGAAGCUAAGGAAACUGAAGGAGUGGGGCGAAGAGAUAUAUAAGGCUGUUGUUACGGCCUUGACUGAAAUUAAUGAAUACAAUCCAAGUGGAAGAUAUGUUGUUCCUGAACUUUGGAAUUUUAAAGAGGGAAGAAAAGCCACAUUAAAGGAGGUUAUCAGUUAUGCCAUAAAGAAUUUGAAGACACUCAAGCGCAAGAGAGCAUGAGGUGAAGCAGAUAGUUUUAAAUGUACCCCAAAUUGAGAGAGAAACUCCUAUCGCGACUAAAUUGGGAUUGACGGGGAAAAUGAAGAAAGAUGGAAAUUUUGGCACCAGGCAUGACCUUGUUUCUUUUGAGCCGUGUCUCACGCCAGGAUAUGCUUGUUCCAUUUGAAUGAAUUUGUGAGCAAAAUAACAUGUUAUGUUGGAUAUGCUUUCUGUUCUAGGAUUUAACUACGAAUCUCUACUUUACUGGGCUAAUUGCCAUACUGACUAUAAUUGCAGAACUCUUUCAUGAGAUUUUCACUA